rnacentral:rRNA from 1 species
UACGAAGGGGGCUAGCGUUGCUCGGAAUCACUGGGCGUAAAGCGCACGUAGGCGGACUCUUAAGUCGGUGGUGAAAUCCUGGGACUCAACCUCAGAACUGCCUCCGAUACUGGAGAGCCUUGAGUCCGGGAGAGGUGAGUGGAACUGCGAGUGUAGAGGUGAAAUUCGUAGAUAUUCGCAAGAACACCAGUGGCGAAGGCGGCUCACUGGCCCGGUACUGACGCUGAGGUGCGAAAGCGUGGGGAGCAAACAGG